rnacentral:rRNA from 1 species
UCGUCAGCUCGUGCCGUGAGGUGUUGGGUUAAGUCCCGCAACGAGCGCAACCCCUACCUUCAGUUGCCAGUGGUUCGGCCGGGCACUCUGGAGGGACUGCCGGUGACAAGCCGGAGGAAGGCGGGGAUGACGUCAAGUCCUCAUGGCCCUUACGCCCAGGGAUGCAAACGUGCUACAAUGGCGCGUACAGAGCGAUGCUAACUCGCGAGAGUACGCAAAUCGCAAAAAGCGCGCCCCAGUUCGGAUUGCAGGCUGCAACUCGCCUGCAUGAAGCCGGAAUCGCUAGUAAUCGGAGAUCAGCUACGCUCCGGUGAAUACGUUCCUGAGCCUUGUACACACCGCCCGUCAAGCCAUGGAAGCCGGGAGUGCCUGAAGUCCGUCACCGCGAGGAGCGGCCUAGGGCAAGAUCGGUAACUAGGGCUAAGUCGUAACAAGGUAGCCGUACCGGAAGGUGCGGCUGGAA